GGGCUCUUGGCGCAGCUGGUAGCGCGUUCGCUUCGCAUGGGGUGCAACAUAAAUGCAUGCGAAAGGUCGUUGGUUCAAUUCCUACAGUGUCCA